UUGAAACACAGGUUCCCGUACGAUCAUCGAAGUUAAGCAUCGUCAGACCUGGUCAGUACCUAGAUGGGUGAACGCUUCGGAAUACAAGGUACUGUAAU